UACAGGCAGAUCUAUGAGAUGGGACCUAACAUUUAAUUAAAAUAAAAAAUAUGUGGCUUCUACAUAAAGAAGAUGUCAUCUAUUAUUUUGAUUGAUCUUUCCAACAGCCUUGUGAGAUGUGGAGAAAUGCUGUCCAGAUGGGUGAAGCAACUUGAGCAAGAACUCAUGGUUAGAGUGGGAUCCAGGCUUCCUUGUCUGGCAAUGACACAGUGUUUUUGCCCUCACCUAGCUCACCACAUGUGUGCUAAGCUUGUUUCCACAUGAAAAAGGGAUACUGAAGGAGAGAAAGCAGAAAGCCCACGGUGUCAAAUUCUCAGAAGAAACCUUGAAUCAGAGAAUGCUUAUUGGCAGAGUGAGCAGACUUGAGCUCACAGGGAGAAUGCAGCCAGCAUGUAUGUUUUCCUUGAUUCAAACCAUGUUUGUUUUGAGCAGUUGCCAAGGGGAAAGGGGACAUAAAAAGAAUUAAGAUGUGCUAUGUACGUGUACCAAUUCCCCACAAUGAAUGUAAUCAGUAUGUACUGCAAACACUAAUAAAAAUUUAAAAAUAUAUAAAGAAGUUGCCAGCAUUAAAAGAUUCAUGUAAAAGUCCAGAUUACCAGCUUCUGUUGAAAAAACCUGGGCCAUUGGGCCACACUGCGUCAGACACCCAACUGCUGGGAACCGUGUGGCUGCUGAGCUGUUAAAUGAGGCUGCGUGCUCCAGAGUCCUCAGGGGGAAGAGCUCAGCCUGUUUUCCUCACUUGCAUUAGCUGCUUGCCCA
rnacentral:lncRNA from 1 species